AAGCAGGGGAUCGCAAGACCUUGCGCUUUUGGAGCGGCCGAUGUCUGAUUAGCUAGUUGGUAGGGUAAAGGCUUACCAAGGCAACGAUCAGUAGUUGGUCUGAGAGGACGACCAGCCACACUGGGACUGAGACACGGCCCAGACUCCUACGGGAGGCAGCAGUGGGGAAUUUUGGACAAUGGGCGAAAGCCUGAUCCAGCCAUGCCGCGUGAGUGAAGAAGGCCUUCGGGUUGUAAAGCUCUUUCAGUCGAGAAGAAAAAAUUGCGACUAAUAAUCGCGACUCAUGACGGUAUCGACAGAAGAAGCACCGGCUAACUACGUGCCAGCAGCCGCGGUAAUACGUAGGGUGCGAGCGUUAAUCGGAAUUACUGGGCGUAAAGGGUGCGCAGGCGGCUUUGUAAGUCAGAUGUGAAAUCCCCGGGCUUAACCUGGGAAUUGCGUUUGAAACUACAAAGCUAGAGU
rnacentral:rRNA from 1 species